CCCUGGUUAGCUCAGUCGGUAGAGCGUUCCACUGGAAGUGGAGCGCUCUACCGACUGAGCUACUGGGAAAUAGAGAGGUCCCGGGAUCGAUACCCGGACCAGGCG
rnacentral:tRNA from 1 species